AUGGGCUGACCAUGGACUUGCCCA
rnacentral:siRNA from 1 species